UACGUAGGGUGCGAGCGUUAAUCGGAAUUACUGGGCGUAAAGCGUGCGCAGGCGGUUUUGUAAGCCAGGUGUGAAAUCCCCGGGCUUAACCUGGGAAUGGCAUUUGGGACUGCAAGGCUGGAGUGUGGCAGAGGAGACUGGAAUUCACGGUGUAGCAGUGAAAUGCGUAGAUAUCGUGAGGAAGACCAGUGGCGAAGGCGGGUCUCUGGACAGUUCCUGACGCUGAGGCGCGAAGGCCAGGGGAGCAAACGGG
rnacentral:rRNA from 1 species